rnacentral:rRNA from 1 species
UACGUAGGUGGCAAGCGUUAUCCGGAUUUACUGGGUGUAAAGGGCGUGUAGGCGGGAUGGUAAGUCAGAUGUGAAAACUAUGGGCUCAACCCAUAGCCUGCAUUUGAAACUAUCGUUCUUGAGUGUUGGAGAGGCAGGCGGAAUUCCGUGUGUAGCGGUGAAAUGCUUAGAUAUCACGAAGAACCCCGAUUGCGAAGGCAGCCUGCCGCAGCGUUACUGACGCUGAAGCUCGAAAGCGCGGGUAUCGAACAGG